AAACAUGGCUCUCUGGUGGUUUUAGAUAGAGAGUCGGGCCUGCCCGGUGAUAUAAUAUUAUUUAACGGCCGCAGUAUCCUGACUGUGCAAAGGUAGCAUAAUCAUUUGCCCUAUAAUUGAGGGCUAGUAUGAAUGGUCUGACAAGAACAAAGCUGUCUCUGUGGAAUUUUAUUGAAAUUAACUUCUAGGUGAAGAGGCCUAGAUAUUACUAAAAGACGAGAAGACCCUAUCGAGCUUAAAAGAUUAGCAGGCUGACUGGUUCUAUCUUUUUGGUUGGGGCGACCGAGGAACAAUAAGAGCUUCCUUAAAUUUAAGAGUCUGUAAACAAUGAUCCAGUAAAAUUGAUUAAGAGAAUAAGUUACCGUAGGGAUAACAGCGUAAUCUUCUUUAAGAGCUCACAUUAAAAAGAAACUUUGCGACCUCGAUGUUGGACUAAAGUAUCCUAAAGAUGUAGAAGUCUUUAAGGGUUGGUCUGUUCGACCAUUAAAACUUUA
rnacentral:rRNA from 1 species